CAGUAGCCGCGGUAAGACAGAGGAUGCAAGCGUUAUCCGGAAUGAUUGGGCGUAAAGCGUCUGUAGGUGGCUGGUCGCGUCUGUCGUGAAAUCCUCUGGCUUAACUGGGGGCUUGCGGUGGGUACGGGCCGGCUUGAGUGCGGUAGGGGAGGCUGGAACUCCUGGUGUAGCGGUGGAAUGCGCAGAUAUUAGGAUGAACACCGGUGGCGAAAGCGGCUUUCUGGACGACAACUGACGCUGAGGCGCGAAAGCCAGGGGAGCAAACGGGAUUAGAUACCCGCGUAGUCCCUGUCUCUUAUAC
rnacentral:rRNA from 1 species